rfam:Triticum aestivum genome assembly, contig: Triticum_aestivum_CS42_TGACv1_scaffold_515846_6BS
CAGCUACUCCCUCCGUUCAGAAUUACUUAUCACAAAAAAUGGAUGUAUCUACAACUAAAAUACAUCUAGAUACAUUCACUUCUUGGACGAGUAAUUCCGAACGGAGGGAGUAGUUA